UACGAAGGGGGGCUAGCGUUGCUCGGGAAUCACUGGGCGUAAAGCGCACGUAGGCCGAUUGUUAAGUCAGGGGGUGAAAUCCUGGAGCUCAACUCCAGAACUGCCCUUGAUACUGACGGUCUCGAGUCCGGGGAGAGGUGAGUGGAACUGCGAGUGUAGAGGGUGAAAAUUCGUAGAUAUUCGCAAGAACACCGGUGGCGAAGGCGGCUAUCUGGGACCGACAUUGACGCUGAGGCGCG
rnacentral:rRNA from 1 species